AGAUAAAAAAAGGCCCAAAACUAUUUCCAAUGUUCUGGGCCCAGGGGAAUGGCUCAUAAAGAGCCGUGCGCUUAAGUCGAGAUGUGACAGGAUUGCUAUCUCUGAUUAAAUUCUAGACGAUUUAAAAAAAUGCAAGUUG
rnacentral:sRNA from 1 species